CAGUAGCCGCGGUAAUACGAAGGGUGCAAGCGUUACUCGGAAUUACUGGGCGUAAAGCGUGCGUAGGCGGUGAGUUAAGUCUGCUGUGAAAUCCCCGGGCUCAACCUGGGAAUGGCAGUGGAUACUGGCUCGCUAGAGUGUGUCAGAGGAUGGUGGAAUUCCCGGUGUAGCGGUGAAAUGCGUAGAGAUCGGGAGGAACAUCAGUGGCGAAGGCGGCCAUCUGGGACAACACUGACGCUGAGGCACGAAAGCGUGGGGAGCAAACAGGAUUAGAUACCCCCGUAGUCCCUGUCUCUUAUAC
rnacentral:rRNA from 1 species